rnacentral:rRNA from 1 species
CGGGGUGCAGCAGGCGCGAAACCUCUGCAAUGCGCGAAAGCGCGACAGGGCAACCCCGAGUGCUAGGUGCUGAAUCUAGCUUUUCCUUAGUGUAGUGAGCUAGGGGAAUAAGCGGGGGGCAAGCCUGGUGUCAGCCGCCGCGGUAAUACCAGCUCCGCGAGUGGUCGGGACGAUUAUUGGGCCUAAAGCGUUCGUAGCCGGCCUUACAAGUCUCUGGUUAAAUUUCAAGGCUUAACCUUGAGCGUGCUGGAGAUACUGUUAGGCUAGGGGGCGGGAGAGGUUGAGGGUACUUCACGGGUAGGGGCGAAAUCCUAUAAUCCGUGAAGGACCACCAGUGGCGAAGGCGCUCAACUGGAACGCGCCCGACGGUGAGGGACGAAAGCCAGGGGAGCAAAGGGGAUUAGAUACCCCCGUAGUCCUGGCUGUAAACGAUGCGGGCUAGGUGUUGGGUUGGCUUCGUGCCAACCCGGUGCCGCAGGGAAGCCGUUAAGCCUGCCGCCUGGGGAGUACGGUCGCAAGGCUGAAACUUAAAGGAAUUGGCGGGGGAGCAC